rnacentral:rRNA from 1 species
UACACUCCUGCGGGAGGCAGCAGUGGGGAAUUUUGGACAAUGGGCGAAAGCCUGAUCCAGCAAUGCCGCGUGAGUGAAGAAGGCCUUCGGGUUGUAAAGCUCUUUUGUCAGGGAAGAAACGGUGAGAGCUAAUAUCUCUUGCUAAUGACGGUACCUGAAGAAUAAGCACCGGCUAACUACGUGCCAGCAGCCGCGGUAAUACGUAGGGUGCAAGCGUUAAUCGGAAUUACUGGGCGUAAAGCGUGCGCAGGCGGUUUUGUAAGUCUGAUGUGAAAUCCCCGGGCUCAACCUGGGAAUUGCAUUGGAGACUGCAAGGCUAGAAUCUGGCAGAGGGGGGUAGAAUUCCACGUGUAGCAGUGAAAUGCGUAGAUAUGUGGAGGAACACCGAUGGCGAAGGCAGCCCCCUGGGUCAAGAUUGACGCUCAUGCACGAAAGCGUGGGGAGCAAACAGGAUUAGAAACCCCUGUAGUCCC